GGAAACCCAGGAGAGCCACCAGUGCGUAGAUCCAGGCUGGAGGCCCACAGGCUCAAGACUCAGAAAAAGGUUAGCCUGGUGAGGAAGAUAAAGACAUUUGCAACCAAGAUGGUAAUCACGAGUGGAAAUGAUGAAGACAGAGGAGGCCAAGAAAAAGAAAGUAAAGAAGAGAGCAUCUUGGCAAUGCUGGGGAUUAUCGGGACCAUUCUGAACCUAAUCGUCAUCAUAUUUGUCUACAUAUACACCACUCUGUGAAUGGCCCGGAAGACGGCAGUCCUGUGCAUCAAGAGCUCAGUGACUGGACCCUGCGAGAACAAGCAGGCUGGACCUACACACACCGCUCAAUCAAAUGCACCUUCAAACUUUAUAAAAGGCCACAAAAAUCAACCAAUCCUGCUGCAAGGAGCAGUCGCUAAAGCACAAUGAAUCCAACAGAACUCAUUCACACCACAAGGAACUCAACGUCCUUGGCGGGGGACCUGAAAGAACGCUUGGAAGAGCAGCCUUGGACGCCAUCGGUGAGCGGAUGGGUGCAGGAAUUCUUUAUCCCAGAUCGCUGACGGAUGUCACAUAUUUGAAAAGAUGAAUGGGUUGGACAUGGCCCGGCCGUGUGUCUCCCAAGACAAGUGUUUCGUCUCAACUCAGUGAGCUGUUUAGUUCGAAAAACCACAGGGGCAGGUCUUUGACAGGCAUCCCAUUCAUCAAAAGUGUCUAACUAUUUGAUACCAGGGAGAUAACUUAUUUUUCUUUUUUCAUUGGCUUGACGUGUGUAUCUGUUCAUAUCAAGGUUUAUAAAUAUAUAUUUUUAAUAAAUGUGCUCUAUUUUUUAGCAUGAACCAAAUAUUUGGAGAGGCUCUCCUGGAUCCACAGAGCUUUCCUUGUUUUAUCUGCUUUGUCCCCUGACUGCAGAUGCUCCUGUGUGUGGCCAUUCCAAUCCUUGUCUCAUCUUGAAUCUUUUACCUUUGUGUGCGCUCUCUCCCUGUCCCUCUCUCUCUCGCUCUCUUUCUGGUCUGGAAAAUAUUUUUCCAUAAUACCAGCCACGGUCUUAGUUGGUGCAUGUUUUAAGAUUGUCUGUUGAGUGGCUUUUUGUUGUUACGUUGGAGAUAUAAAACGAUCGUGGGCAUGCAGACCCUGGAUGCACCUUACCUUUACUGAGAAUUAUGCAUGAACAAGGGCUGAGUGACAGAUCAGCUUUAAAAAAAAAAAAAAAAAAAAAGACUACCGUUGAGGAAGAAGAGCGUGGCUGUAUUAUUUACAGAUCUACCAUUGGACAGAAUAUUCAGCUUCUUGCUGGUUGCAUUAUUACUUAUUUCAUUCUUGUGACCAUUUGUUUAUCAGAUUUUGAUUUUAAUGGCCGUGUCCUAUGAGAGAUGGGAAGAACAAGGGGGAAACUUGCAUUAGGUGCAUAAUUCUUAACUUAGCAAGAUGCCUGGGAUCCUCUUCAAAUGUAGGUGGGUUGUGAAUAACAUGUAAACUCUGCACUGUGAGAGCUCAUGGUGAUUCAGGCUGUGAGGACACCCCGAGACAGGUGACUUUUUGAUAGCACUAGAAGGGGAUCUGAUGAUUGCCCUAAAGGAUUGCUGUGCUUCUUAAAGCUCCUGGUUUACACCCACAUGAAGCUACUUCCUCCCUGGCAGGGAUGGUUGAAUACAUAUGAAUUUGCUCUGUUCUUCCAGCUCCCUGAAGCGAGCCCUUGCCUGGCAGCAGUGGCGUGGCCUUGAAGAGUGGGUCACUGUUACUUCCACCGGUGCCAGCCUUGGCUGUGGGCAGAAGCAGUAGCACUCUGCCUUCUGGUUGCUCAAGUGAUAUCAAGGUCUCUGCCUCCACAUCUCCCCGUCCCCCAUGCUAUGGGGUCUGAAAUUCCAUUAGAAAGUCCUUUAUUGGGCUCUACUAAGGGAUCAGGCUCUUUUGUAAAGCUAAUGUUCCUGAGCACCUGGCUCUGACAUUGAUUCAUCAGAUACCAUCUCUUCCCUGCCAGAAGGAAGGAAGCUGAGGUGUAUUUAGGGCAUACUGUGUACCAGGCACUGUUCCAGACACUUGAAGAACCUUAAGUCCUUCCCCCACACUGUAGAAGAAAGGAGGGCUCAGAGAUCAGGAAACAUCCCCGAGAUCACGUGACUAGUAGUGGAGCCAGGAUGGAGAUCCUGAUCUGUCUGAUUCCUUAGCCCAGUGAGGGCCUGGAGGCUGCUGGGGAAGAGAGGAAAUGGGGAGGUGGAAAAGUCACAGGAAAAGCCACUUGGGAGGGACAGCUCUGCACACCUCCCUUGUAAAAAGGGACGACCCCUGGGAACUCCUUCCACACUGGCAGAAUAUUAUAUAAAUAAGGACAAGGGACAAGAAGUAAAACGGAUGUCAGCAAGAGGGAGCUAUCUAACAGGUUCUGUGUGAUUCUAGAAGGACUGUAUGAAAAUUCUGAACAGUGAACAUAGUAAAAAAUAAAGGUGCAAUGGGAAAAAAAAA